UGACCAUUGCACGACGAUGACAGUGAAGAACGAUUAACACUCCAGCUUGAUCAUUACUCCUUUGGUUAACUCUGCAUUAGAAUAAGUCAUUCAAAUCCCCGGCUUAUUAUCAUGAAUGCGAAUAUGAAUGGUCCACUUCGAAAUUGCCGCGAGUAGACAGAUUAAAGCUGAUCAUCGUUAGAUGAGAUUGUAGUAGGGGAAAUAGAAGUGAUCUAACAAAGGGCGACACUAGGUACUUAACGCGGUGAGGAGAUACAAUACUAUAAAAGAAUACAGAUUUCGAUUAAGUUUGUUUUUCCUAUUUUGGAAUUUUGAAAAGAAGCAAUAAAUCUUUUCGGACGGUGGAGGUGGGUCAUCCCUUAUAAAUCAGAUGAACGAAUUUUCUACGGUAAUACCCAGAGAGAAAGUUACAACGAUUGGGUAUACUAUACGAUGUUUAUUUUAUUCGAUCAGAGACGAAUGUAAGAACAUUUCCAAAUGAUAUUAGAAGAUAUUUUUAUCUCUCAAUAAUUUCGAGAUUAACUCGAUUAUUUUUAUUAAUAAUAAUAAUAUAUCUUGUUCGCGUUAGUUUUCUCAUAAAAUUUUAUUGAAAACACAAUUAAUUUAUAAACAGGAAAUAUUUAUCGUCAUACCUUUUUGUUCGCACAUAAUACUUUACAUUUUGUAUCUAAUUGUAAAAUAAUUCUCAGUUUAUUUUUUGUUUAAAAUCUCAGAAACAAAAGAAACUGGAUCUCCGGACGGAUACGUUCGUCUUAUUAAUAAUGCAUUGGAAUUAAUUAGACAAGUGGUAAAAGUUUCUGUUAUUAACAAGAUUUUUCUAUGUAAAAUUUUCUUUUUUUUCACUAAUUCCACUUUUUUAUUCUUCCGAGUUGCUUUUCUUUUUAUAAAAAUUUUCUUUUUUUUAUGGAAACAGAUAAUCGCGUUGGGUCUUUUAAAAUACGCAUAAUGUAUUCAACGCGUGUUACGUAACGUCAUUCGAUAGGUCGAUUAUGCAAGUAGACGCAAACGCGACGAUACUCUAAUGGCCAGUACAAUUUAAUCAUUACUCGUUUACUCAUUCGUAGUAGUAGAUAAGAAGAGAUCGGUGUAUCUGCAAUUUUAUAAUUUCAUUUUUUCCUAUAUCAUUUUCUAUGCUCAAUCUUCUCUCUCCCCCUUCUCCACCCCUUUUCACAUUUUUACAAUCUGUUUACAAUUUUCUUUUUUUUUUCUUCUUUUUUUUUUAUUUUUCUUCUUAUCCAUCUAACUCUCUCUCUCUCUCUCUUUCCUGUUUUUCAUUAAUUAAUAAUUAUUUAACAAUGAUGACGAGAGAUAAUAACGCGAUAAUCACAUGGACAUUGUCUAGUUCAGGAAAAACUUAUAUCUAAUUUUUUAAGAUUUGUGUGUCUUUUUUUUAUUAUUAUAUUAUUUAUAAU